rnacentral:rRNA from 1 species
AGUCAAUGCUCGCAAGAGUGAACUAGCUAACUGAAAUCACAGGAUCCAUUUAUCUGGUGAAUGUAAUAACGUAAGGGAAAAAAAUGAUAUUACCUUACUAUUAGUGUUGUCCAAAACUGGUGCCAGAAGACUCGGUAAGGCCAGAGACGCAAACGUUAGUCGUCCUAAUCAGGCGUAAAGGGUAUGUAGGCUGCUUUAAAAGUUUAAUAAUUAAUAUCUAGGUAAUAAAUUAAGUAGAAUAAAAUUGCUUAAUUUCUCUUAUGUAAAAAUUAGAUGAAUUAAAGCUAGAAUCAAAUUGAGGAUAAUUAAAUAAUACUUAGUGUAGGGUUUAAAUCUGAUGAUACUAGGGGGAGUACUAACGGUGAAAGCUUUUAUCUAGAAAUGAUUGACGCUGAGAAACGAAGGUGAGAAUAGGAAAUAGGAUUAGAUACCCAGAUACCUCUCACAGUCAACGAUGAAUGGUGGUUGUUAGUUAGUUUUAUUUAACUGAUAACGAUGUUAACACGAUAACCAUUCCGCCUUGCGAGUACGGUUGCAAAACUGAAACCAAAAAAAUUAGUCGGUCUCGAAGCAAACGAAGUGAAGCAUGUUAUUU